rnacentral:rRNA from 1 species
AGAGCGAACGCUGGCGGCAGGCCUAACACAUGCAAGUCGAGCGCCCGUAGCAAUACGGGAGCGGCAGACGGGAUAGUAACACGUGGGAACGCGCCCUUCGGUUCGGAAUAACUCAGGGAAACUUGAGCUAAUACCGGAUACGCCCUUACGGGGAAAGAUUUAUUGCCGAAGGAACGGCCCGCGUCCGAUUAGCUAGUUGGUGAGGUAAUGGCUCACCAAGGCGACGAUCGGUAGCUGGUCUGAGAGGAUGACCAGCAUCACUGGGACUGAGACACGGCCCAGACUCCUACGGGAGGCAGCAGUGGGGAAUAUGGACAAUGGGCGCAAGCCUGAUCCAGCCAUGCCGCGUGGAUGAUGAAGGCCUUAGGGUUGUAAAGUCCUUUUAACGGGGAAGAUAAUGACGGUACCGUAGAAGUAAGCCCCGGCUAACCUUCGUGCCAGCAGCCGC